rnacentral:rRNA from 1 species
CCCAGUGAACAAUUAAACGGCCGCGGUACCCUAACCGUGCAAAGGUAGCAUAAUCAUUUGUCUACUAAUUAUAGACCUGCAUGAAAGGCAAAAUGAGGGUCUAACUGUCUCUUAUAGUGAAUCAAUUAAACUGAUCUUCUAGUAAAAAAGCUAGAAUAUAUACAUAAGACCAGAAGACCCUGUGAAGCUUAAACUAAAUUAUUAAACCAUAUAAUAACUACUUUCGGUUGGGGCGACCUUGGAAAAAAAGAGAACUUCCAAAAACCAUAACUACCCAUAUCACUUAGGCCCACAAGCCAAUUAAACGACCCAGCAUAGCUGAUCACCGAACCAAGUUACUCCAGGGAUAACAGCGCAAUCCUCUUCAAGAGCCCAUAUCAAAAAGAGGGUUUACGACCUCGAUGUUGGAUCAGGACAUCCUAA